rnacentral:rRNA from 1 species
AUGCAGGACGAAGCGAUGGAACUCGCCGCAGGCUGGGCAGCGCAGGGCGGCAGGGUCCAUCUGACGGCUGACAUUGGGCCACGUCCGCGUCGCUCCGGCCACGCCCACGCCGUGCCGUUCGCCAACAGCACGCCCACGCCGCGAGCAGGUCGUGGGUGCCGGUCAUCUUCGCCGCCGCCAGAGACGCCGCUCGAGCUCGGCGCGCCCGUGUUCCACGUGCACGGCCUCGACUGCGCCCCCGUGCUCCUCAUGCGCGGCCUCGACGGCGCCCCGUGCUCCCUGCCCCGCCGUCGCGUUCGACGCCGCCGAAAAGACCUGGUCGCGGUGCUGUGGCGCCCCGGACCAUGGUGCCGAGCACGCCCGUCCGGCUGCUGGUGCAUGCCAGGCCACGCAGAGGCGGGCGCGGGCGCGGGCCCUUCGGCCAACGCCACCGCUCCUCGAGCCCGGGCCGGCGCGCGACAAGCGGGGCGGCGACGGCGGCCCGCUGUGAGUAGGACGGCGCGGCGGAGCUGUGUGAGCAGAGGACGGCGGAGGAGGCAGAGGCCGGCGUGCGGCGAGGAGGCGGCCACGACCAGCAGGGGGGCGAGUAUGUGGGGAAAGCACGUGGGUGGGGGCCGGGAGGAAAAGUAUGAAGAGACGAGUGGGAGGCUGACAGUGGGCCAUUCACAUGCAAAAUCUUCUCUCUCCGCCCCCAACAGCCCCCCGAUGGCCUGGGGUCGCCCUGUUGCAUCUUGCACCGCGGAAUGGGGGGUGAAGAGGGCACAGCAGGGUGGAGCGAAAUUAACCCUGGUGCAGUUAAAAUUCAUGAUCCGGCCCCUGCAGCUUGCCUGCCUGCCGGCCGGCCGGCUUCUUCUGCUUCUUGCUGCUCCUGAUCCGUCUGAUCUGAUCCCUAUUGAACCCUUUUUCUCCAUGAGAGAGAGAUCAUGCAGAAGUGGGAUCUGCGCGCGCGCAGCAGCUUCGAUGGGCCUCGACGUCGCGGAAAUCUCUGAAUUGGCGGCGCUCCGGCCGGUCCAGACGACCGAAGUGCCAGGGGCGGACGAUGCUGCCGCCGACACCGGCUGCGUCACGCCGAAGGCGAGCGGCUCCGUGGCCAUGCUGCCAAUUGCGCCACUGCAGCAAGUCGACGUUGGCUUCGCCACGCCGCUGGCCGCGGGUGGAGAAAUUGGGCCGCGAGAGGGCUGCGGAGCGGGGGCCACUGCCGGCGACGAGGGCAGCUUCACCACGCCCACAACGGCCGACAGCGCGCUGGUGCCGGCCACCGUGUGCCCGCCGGCACCGCGCAAGUCGGCGCCGGCUCCGACCAGGAAGCGGGCGCCGCUGCAGCAGCGGCUCUUCUUCUACCCUGUGCCGAGCGACCUGACCACCGUCUUCGUCGCCGUGCCGCAGUGCCCGUCGCCUGCCAAGAAAAUGCGGGCGCACGUGGUAGAAUCUUCCGUGCCUCUAGGCACUUCAGCACUUCACAUGCAGGGUGCCCUGUACCUGGGCAUAUCUGGGGCCGGGCCGGGCCAUAAAAAGCCCGAGUUGAAACCCAGGCCUGAGCCUGGCCUGGCCCGACUGUUGGGCCUACUAAAUUGGGCCCAAGCCCAAGAAGUCCGACAUGGCCUGAUCGGUCCAGCCCGACUACGGCUAAAAUCUCGGUUUUCACAAGCCCGAGCCCGGCCUGAUCUGCCUCUCGGGCUCAAUUUUCAGGCCCGAGGCCAGCCCGAUGGCACGCUCGGGCUGUGCCCGGCUCAGAAUUUUUUAGUCGGGUCGGGCCAUCCGGGCCGGGCUGCCCAUGGCAAGGGAUACCUCACAGGGAUCCACUCAAUUCAGAGUACAAGGAUUGAUACAAACGCAAAUGUGCUGAUAAUCGAACAGCAAGAAGGAGAGAGGUUCAGAGCCGAGUCCAGAUCUGCUGCUGGGCUGCCAGAGGGAAGGUUGCUAACAGUUGUCGUCGAGGGAGGCGGGUGGCCGACCCAUCAAACGAGCAACCUGAGAGAUGUAAUCCUAGGAUCGUCGCAUUCCCGGUGCACCAAAGAACUCCAGGGUUCAGUUUAG